UGUGAAGAAUGCCAACAUUUCUGACUGCAUGGGACAAGACUUAAAACUAGUUGUUAGCUGCACAGCUCCUGUACUAUUAACUGCCGUGUGCGCACUAUUUUACAGGAAUUAAUGAGGCCUGUCGACAGUAUCUCUGCAAAAUGAAGGUGGACGUCAGAUGGCUCAAUAUGAUGUACAGCAUUGACCAACACAAACUACUAUACAGGUCUCGGCAAAGUCAGGAGACAUGAAGCUGGAAGCUGAAAAUCUGAACUGAUGGAGAAACAAGGCAAGU